CAGUCGCCGCGGUAAUACGAGGGGGGCAAGCGUUGUUCGGAAUUAUUGGGCGUAAAGGGUGCGUAGGCGGUUUGACAAGUCUUAUGUGAAAUCUCUGGGCUCAACCCAGAGUCUGCAUGGGAAACUGUCGGGCUUGAGUAUGGGAGAGGUGAGUGGAAUUUCCGGUGUAGCGGUGAAAUGCGUAGAUAUCGGAAGGAACACCUGUGGCGAAAGCGGCUCACUGGACCAUAACUGACGCUGCUGCACGAAAGCUAGGGGAGCAAACAGGAUUAGAUACCCGGGUAGUCCCUGUCUCUUAUAA
rnacentral:rRNA from 1 species